rnacentral:rRNA from 1 species
ACUCCUACGGGAGGCAGCAGUGGGGGAAUAUUGCACAAUGGGGGGAAACCCUGAUGCAGCCAUGCCGCGUGUGUGAAGAAGGCCUUCGGGUUGUAAAGCACUUUCUAGUAGGGAGGAAGGUAGUGUAGUUAACACCUGCAUUAUUUGUACGUUACCUACAGAAGAAGCACCGGCUAACUCCGUGCCAGCAGCCGCGGUAAGUACGGAGGGUGCGAGCGUUAAUCGGAAUUACUGGGCGUAAAGCGCAUGCAGGCGGCCUGUUAAGUCAGAUGUGAAAGCCCGGGGUCUUAACCUCGGAAUUGCAUUUGAAACUGGCAGGCUAGAGUCUUGUAGAGGGGUUAGAAUUUCAGGUGUAGCGGUGAAAUGCGUAGAGAUCUGAAGGAAUACCGAGUGGCGAA